GACGAACGCUGGCGGCGUGCCUAAUACAUGCAAGUCGAGCGGACAGAUGGGAGCUUGCUCCCGGAAGUCAGCGGCGGACGGGUGAGUAACACGUGGGAAACCUGCCUGUAAGACUGGGAUAACUUCGGGAAACCGGAGCUAAUACCGGAUACGUUCUUUUCUCGCAUGAGAGAAGAUGGAAAGAUGGUUUCGGCUAUCACUUACAGAUGGGCACGCGGCGCAUUAGCUAGUUGGUGAGGUAAUGGCUCACCAAGGCAACGAUGCGUAGCCGACCUGAGAGGGUGAUCGGCCACACUGGGACUGAGACACGGCCCAGACUCCUACGGGAGGCAGCAGUAGGGAAUCUUCCGCAAUGGACGAAAGUCUGACGGAGCAACGCCGCGUGAACGAUGAAGGCCUCCGGGUCGUAAAGUUCUGUUGUUAGGGAAGAACAAGUACCAGAGUAACUGCUGGUACCUUGACGGUACCUAACCAGAAAGCCACGGCUAACUACGUGCCAGCCGCCGCCGUAA
rnacentral:rRNA from 1 species